GAGAUGAAUGCUGCGGCAGAAGCCGAGUUUAACAUCCUCCUGGCCACCGACUCCUACAAGGUUACUCACUAUAAACAGUAUCCACCCAACACAAGCAAAGUUUAUUCCUACUUUGAAUGCCGUGAAAAGAAGACAGAAAACUCCAAAUUAAGGAAGGUGAAAUAUGAGGAAACAGUAUUUUAUGGGUUGCAGUACAUUCUUAAUAAGUACUUAAAAGGUAAAGUAGUAACCAAAGAGAAAAUCCAGGAAGCCAAAGACGUCUACAAAGAACAUUUCCAAGAUGAUGUCUUUAAUGAAAAGGGAUGGAACUACAUUCUUGAGAAAUAUGAUGGGCAUCUUCCAAUAGAAAUAAAAGCUGUUCCUGAGGGUUUUGUCAUUCCUAGAGGAAAUGUUCUCUUCACGGUGGAGAACACGGAUCCAGAGUGUUACUGGCUUACAAAUUGGAUUGAGGUAAAUUGUUUUUUGUUCUUUUAAUUCUUAUUUAACAUUAAUUGAAUAAAGACCAUUGAACUGAGAUUACAGUUUAGAAUUUGUUACUAAUAAAGCUAUAUAAUCUCCUAUAAUUUACUUAACCUUUCCAGGCUUCAAUUUCCUCAUCUAUAAAAUGACAGACUAAAUAAUCUUUAAGGUUUCUUCUAGUAGAAUAGAAUGUUCUGAGAUUUUGUUUAAAUCAAAUUAUUGCGAGUGAUUGUUUUUAAAACUUAGUUGGCUGUCAUCUAAUUCAUUGCCAUUUUAAAUGUGUAUUAUCUUAGAGCAAACUUAGAAAAACAGCACAUUUCUAGUAACUUACAACAUUCAGUGAAUGAUAAAUGUUCAAGUUAGACUAAAGGAACUUUACUCCAACUUUUAGUAACUACUUCAUUUUUCUCUAACCAGUUUAGGUCCUAGGAUCUACCAUCUGUUUUCAGUUUCUCAUCUAAAUAUAAACAAGAUCUGCUAUUCAUAUUGUUUAAUUUCUCAGGAAGGGUACAUUUUGGGCUUUGGGUUUAUACUGCGAGCCUUUUUUUGUUUUUCUUGUAUGUAUACCUAAGUAGUCAUAUGUUUUCACAUGGUCAGAGUUUUGAUAAUGAUACUCUGCUUAGCUUCUGAACAGUUUAAUAAUAGAUUUAAUCUG
rnacentral:sRNA from 1 species